CCUGGUGGCUCAGUGGUAAAGAAUCUGCCUGCAAUGCAGGAGACUCAGGUUUGAUCCCUGGGUCAGGA
rnacentral:tRNA from 1 species